CGCCGGUGUGCGCCGGUGACGGCCCGUCCGUGUGUGGGUGAUACUCUCGCACACAGCGCUGAAACAACGGGGGACCCGGGCCAAGGUCUUCCUUCCGUUACGGCCUUGCUCGUCCGACGAACGGCGAACAACGUAGGCUCGACGGAGCCUUUUCAGCGACAGGACAACGACGGGAAUCUUUCCACGGAGAUUCUUAAGAUCGCCGACCGCCCUGGGGAGACUGCCUGCGAAUCAGGGAUUUCUAUCGAAAUGGAGAAUACCGGUACUGUAACGCCGCUAUCACGGUAUUUCUCGGUGGUACCGAAACCCUUGGAGACGCCGGAUAUGUUGGACUUCUCCAGCGAAAUGUAAAAUACCGGUAUUUUUUUGGCUGUAUCAUCGAAACCCUUAUCAAAAUCGAGUCACGAGAAUACUGGCAUAUAUAUGACGUCAUGCUGCGAGAAAAAAAUAGAGAUUACCAAUUGUAAUAUAAUAAUAUAACGAGGCUGCGGAUUUUUCUGCGUAAUAAAGAUUGGGUGCAUUAAUGCUGCUAAGUGCAA